GAUGAACGCUGGCGGCGUGCCUAAUACAUGCAAGUCGAGCGAACAGACGAGGAGCUUGCUCCUCUGACGUUAGCGGCGGACGGGUGAGUAACACGUGGAUAACCUACCUAUAAGACUGGGAUAACUUCGGGAAACCGGAGCUAAUACCGGAUAAUAUAUUGAACCGCAUGGUUCAAUAGUGAAAGACGGUUUUGCUGUCACUUAUAGAUGGAUCCGCGCCGCAUUAGCUAGUUGGUAAGGUAACGGCUUACCAAGGCAACGAUGCGUAGCCGACCUGAGAGGGGGAUCGGCCACACUGGAACUGAGACACGGUCCAGACUCCUACGGGAGGCAGCAGUAGGGAAUCUUCCGCAAUGGGCGAAAGCCUGACGGAGCAACGCCGCGUGAGUGAUGAGGGUCUUCGGAUCGUAAAACUCUGUUAUUAGGGAAGAACAAAUGUGUAAGUAACUAUGCACGUCUUGACGGUACCUAAUCAGAAAGCCACGGCUAACUACGUG
rnacentral:rRNA from 1 species